UGGGGAAUAUUGCACAAUGGGCGCAAGCCUGAUGCAGCCAUGCCGCGUGUGUGAAGAAGGCCUUCGGGUUGUAAAGCACUUUCAGCGGGGAGGAAGGCGAUAAGGUUAAUAACCUUGUCGAGUGACGUUACCCGCAGAAGAAGCACCGGCUAACUCCGUGCCAGCAGCCGCGGUAAUACGGAGGGUGCAAGCGUUAAUCGGAAUUACUGGGCGUAAAGCGCACGCAGGCGGUCUGUGAAGUCGGAUGUGAAAUCCCCGGGCUCAACCUGGGAACUGCAUUCGAAACUGGCAGGCUAGAGUCUUGUAGAGGGGGGUAGAAUUCCAGGUGUAGCGGUGAAAUGCGUAGAGAUCUGGAGGAAUACCGGUGGCGAAGGCGGCCCCCUGGACAAAGACUGACGCUCAGGUGCGAAAGCGUGGGGAGCAAACAGG
rnacentral:rRNA from 1 species